UUAAUGCAAUAAAGACGGUUGGCUUUACAAAAAAAAUGGUGUCAAUGUUGUCUGAGCUCACUUUCAGUCUAUUUGGGCAUGCGUAUUUGCAAUUUUGCACGUUUGCACAAGACAAUAAAAAGGUACUUCCCGGAAAUGCAAAAAAACCAAAACAAAAAACCACGUGUUUAUUGUUGUCGUUUGAAUUUAAACUUUUAUUGGUUGGGUGUUUGAAUUUCUUUACUCUCAUUGGUUCUGGGCAUUUUGGGAGUCUCUGUUCUCGCGAGGAUCACCAUUUUGCAUUUCUUCCAACACAACUGUGAUCGAUGGCGGCGAGAAGUAUUUCACCGCAGGACACGAUUCGAAUGGUGUUAGAAAAUCCUGAUUCCGACGACGACGACCUUUGUUCGGACGCUUCUUUGGAGAGCCCAGAAGACAUUGAACAAAUUCUUCCGGACUUUCGAUGCCGGAGGAGGACGGCUUUGAUGACGAGGAUUAGGAAAUAGUUGACAACAUAACGAGAUGAAAGCGGGGAGCAGAAGGCGGGGGCACGGACAUGACCACGUUCAGGCGCAUGACGAAAAUGACGGCGAUCGAGACCUGAGGCACAUACUCCUGCCGCCGGCGCGCACUCAGGUGGCCAAUGUGUGUUUUUUCACAUGCCGGACAUUUCGUCAUGCAGCGCGUUUGUGCUGUUCACGGAGAUCUACCCUCGUUUGUGCUGUUCACGGAGAUCUACCCUGAGUGGAACGUGAAGAAAAGCUACAAGCGCCGACUAUUUCUUGAGGAACUUGGCAAGGCUCUAAUUCGGCCAGAAGUCCUAAAACGGGAACCACCGCCUUCUGCCGAAGGCUUGGUUGAGCAGCGAGCUGGACCCCCGUCCAAGCGCAAACAAUGUGGCCUUUGCACAAAGCCACUUCGGGCUUCGAACAUAAUAAUAAAUAAUAAUACAUUUUAUUUAUAACGCACUUUACAUUUGAACAACAAAUCUCAAAGUGCACAUCAUGAAUUGUGUAUGUUGUUAUUAUGUUAACUGUUAUAUUGUAUGUAUGUUUUGUAAAAUUGUUAACAUAAAUUCUAUCAUCAAAUCA